rnacentral:tRNA from 1 species
ACAUUGAUGGUUCAGUGUUAGAAUUUUCACCUCCCACGUGGGAGACCUGGGUUAGAAUCCUGACCAAUGUC